GAUGAACGCUGGCGGCAUGCUCAACACAUGUAAGUAGGACGGGUAGAGGUGAGUCUGGUGGCGGUUGGGAGAGUAACGCGCAAGAACCUGCCCUGGGGAGGGGAACAACAACUGGAAACGGUUGCUAAUAUCCCGUAGGCUGAGGAGCAAAAGGAGGAAUCUGCCCGAGGAGGGGCCUGCGUCUGAUCAGCUAGUUGGUGAGGUAAUAGCUUACCAAGGCGAUGAUCAGUAGCUGGUCCGAGAGGAUGAUCAGCCACACUCGGACUGAGACACGGCCCAGACUCCUACGAGAGGCAACAGUGGGAAAAUUUCCGCAAUGGGCGAAAGCCUGACGAAGCAAUGCCGCGUGGAAGUAGAAGGCCCACGGGUCGUGAACUUCUUUUCUCGGAGAAGAAACAAUGACGGUAUCUGAGGAAUAAGCAUCGGCUAACUCUGUG
rnacentral:rRNA from 1 species